UGGCGGGUACUUGCACUUCGA
rnacentral:siRNA from 1 species